rnacentral:lncRNA from 1 species
CCCUUUCAAGAGACGAGAGUGAGAGGCGGAGUUAUGGCAGAUAGCAAUUUUAAACAGAUGCAGUGAAGUUUUUUAUUACUUUUUUCUUCUUUCUGUUCAUUUUCAGUAAAUUUCUGAUUUUUUUUCUUCUAAUGGUUUACCAUUUGUCAAGCAUUCUAUUUUCUUUUACAGGGAGGCAGGUCACCUUGCUCUGUUAUACAGUCUUAAAUGUCUAUUUCGAUUUCAAACCACUGUCCACUUUUAUCAAAUUUCUAAAAAAUUAUUGUGUUUCUCUAACUGCUUACCAUUUGUCAGAGAAAUGUAUUUUCUUUGACAGGUAGGACAUACAAUAUCCAGCCCUGAAGAAUGUUUUGCUGCAUGUAGCCUUUUCUAUGGUUUGCAGCUUUUGCUUGUGAGUUUUGAAUUUGAAGAUUGUGAAUUCUAUUUUACUCUUCUUAAUUUAGAAAUGACUUGCCUAUUUGCAUUUGGAGUAUGGAGAAACUGUCAAUCGUUUUUCGAAUUUAUAAUCUAGUAAUAGCUUGUUUUGUAGUAUGAGUCACAGUUGGCAAUAGCAAGUUUAAGAAGGUUUGAGCCCCCAUGGAUGCUUGAGUUUAAUCGAUGAUCAUAGAGUGUUUAAUCUUCCUUUCAUGUUUUUGUAGUUAAGAGACAAGUUUCAUUAUGUUAACAAUUAUUUCUAUUUUAGAGGAUGUAGAUUCAUCACAUGGUUAUUCAUUCUUCUAACAAAUGCUAUAUUUGGCAGACUUUUGUUGGAAGGUUUGGCAG